UGCUCAGUAAAGCUCCGGCGGUUUUGGAUGAGCCCGCGUCCUAUCAGGUUGUUGGUAAGGUAAUUGCUUACCAAGCCUAUGACGGGUAGCUGGUCUUAGCGGAUGACCAGCCAGACUGGGACUGUGACACGGCCCAGACUCCUACGGGAGGCAGCAACUAGGAAUCAUGCGCAAUGGACGAAAGUCUGACGCUGCGACGUCGCGUGGAGGAUUGACGGUCUUCGGAUUGUAAACUCCUUUUAUAUGGGAACAAGUUCUGAGUGUACCAUAUGAAUAAGUGCCUGCUAACCACGUGCCAGAAGCAUCGGUAAUACGUGGGGCACAAGCGUUAUCCGGGUUUACUGGGCGUAAAGAGAUGCGUAGGCGUCCCGAAAAGUUUUGUGUUAAUCUCCCCGCUCAACGGGGAAACCGCAUGAAAAACUUUCGGGAUUGAGUCAGGUAGAGAAAGGGGGAAUUCCUGGUGGAGCGGUUAAAUGCGUUGAUAUCAGGAGGAACACCAAUGGCGAAGGCACCCUUUUGGACCUAGACUGACGCUAAGGCUCGAAAGCGUGGGUAGCAAAACGGAUUAGAUACCCGUGUAGUCCACGCCGUAAACGAUCCCUGUUAGAUGU
rnacentral:rRNA from 1 species